ACGAGCCGGAUGAAUCGAGAGGUUCACGUCCGGAUCUGUGGGGGCGGGCAGGUGCGAUUCCUGCCCGCUACCCGGC
rnacentral:ncRNA from 1 species